GUGAAGAAUGACUGACCACAGUUUCAAUUAAAUGCUAAAUGCCAAUAUAAUACUUAAACAAAUAAGUAUCAAACUGGAAGCAAUUACAAACAGGCAGUUUUUCCUACUAUCUCUUUUAAUAAUGCAAAAAAACCCAUUUCUUUCACUUGCAACUUUCAAAGUAUUGCAGACAGAAUCCUGGUCAGCAAAUCCACCCCAAGAGACCUGAAGCACUAAGUACCUUCUGAUAUUCUUCUCUAGACACAUAAGCAGAGGUGAAGAGAAAAAGUAAGACUGGGCAAUGUCAUCACUCAGGAUGACAGCAGGAGAGAAAAGAGGACUUUCCCUAUAUUUCAGCUGCUAUAUCUUCUAAAGAGGGUGUGAGGGAUCAGCUGUGUGAGGUUGGCUACACCCUGGAGGAAUGAGAAACCUCAUUUCCAGCAGGUCGGCUAACCCAGUUGGAGAAUAACUGAGCUUUCUCUAGUCCCUGAAGAAAAUGCAAAGAUCUCUGCAAUCCAGGCCUUAUGUGAGGAAAAAUACUCUCCAUGGCAGCAUCAUGAGUGGAAUCAAUGGUCAGUAUCACUGUACCUCAAAUGCUUCUCAUGCCUUGGAAACGUGUUUGGAAUUAGUCCUCCCUCCUCAGAUGCUGAGA